CCACAGCAUGGCUUGAUAAGCUGUGCACAGGUCCGCACCUGGGAUCUGAACCUGUGAACCCAGGCUGCUGAAGUGGAGUACCCAAACUUAACCACUACACCACUGGGCCAGCCCCUCAAAAUAUGAAGACAGGUCAAAAAGGAAACACGGGAUUUGCCAUGAGAGGUGGCAGCGUCAAGCGGUCCAACCAAAUGCCAGAAGCCAGUUUAAAUUAUCUGUGGAGGUGGCCGGCUGACAACAGGGAGAACUCUCACUGCCCUCGUCCCCGGGGAAGCCCAGGCAGGCCCGCUGGAGCCAAGGCUAGCUCAGACACCUCGCCCCCCAGGAGCUAAACAUAGAGUUUUCAUUCCUCUCAAAUAUUCAUGUGUCAAAAAAAAAGUAGGUGAAUUGCCCACCUCACUGACAGCUGAGCUCACGCGUAGAAGAAGAUAGCAGUCCCACACGGAUGUUUGGGAGAUUCCCUGGGAACCCAAUGAUCUGGCUGGGCCAAGCCACGGUUCUGAGAAAGUCGGAAACUGCUGGAAGGAUUUCUGAGAAAUAGUUCACUAGUGCAGACCUCCUCAUCCCUACUUUUCCUGUUUUACAGUGUAUGUGAUGACUGGAGCUGCAGUAGCCAUCUUGUAAGAAUGAGGAAAAGAAGCCGAGAUCUCAGAGAUAUUUGCCCUGAUGUCUGUAACCUGCUGAACCAAUGCCACCAGCGGCUUCCUUUCAGACUUCUUGUGAUCAUCUUUGUGGACAUCAUUGUUUGAUUUAUAAGGAUGAGAAGAUUUUAGCUAAGAAUUCCAAGAGCUGCAAAUCAUUUCAUCAUAAUUUUCAUCCAACUUCCAUUAUUGGCAAUCUUUUGGUUAACGUCUGGCCACGUCAUUUCAUCUCAUGGCACAUGAGGCGUCUGAAAGUUGUCUUUUAAAGACCUGAGGGGCUGGCGGGUGGCGUAGUGGUUGGAUUUGUGUGCUUUGCUUCUGUGGCCUGGAGUUCCCUGGUUUGGA